rfam:Streptomyces sp. DI166 genome assembly, contig: Ga0115233_1173
CUUCACCGAGCCGAGCCACAGAGGCUGUUCGCGGUCCCGGCCGUAGGUCGCGAGGAGGGCCUGGGCCUC